rnacentral:rRNA from 1 species
UACAGAGGUGGCAAGCGUUGUUCGGAAUUACUGGGCGUAAAGGGCGCGUAGGCGGCCUUCUAAGUCAGACGUGAAAUCCCCCGGCUUAACCUGGGAACUGCGUCUGAUACUGGAGGGCUUGAGUGCGGGAGAGGGAUGUGGAAUUCCGAGGUGUAGCGGUGAAAUGCGUAGAUAUCUGGAGGAACACCGGUGGCGAAGGCGGCAUCCUGGACCGACACUGACGCUGAGGCGCGAAAGCUAGGGUAGCAAACGGG